GGGGAUGACAUGGCUUCGACGGGGGUUACAAAGCGACAGAGUGCAUACCGUGAUCACAGCCCACGUAAAACACUGUAAAAACUUAAAUGCAAACAAUACAUUUGCCAACAUGGAAGCGUCUAACGACGAUUCUAUGUUACAAGUAGCCUAGUCUACUUUCGUUGUCCUAGCUCGUUUAUCGGCUAGAUCACAGCGCCAUUCAGAUAAACUUUGGUUUAGGUUGACCACCAACUUAAAUUGAGCACUAGUGGUUAGUCACAGAUUUUGCCUGUUGGGCCGGCGGAAUCAGGGCGAAUAAAGAUAGACCCAGCUAAGUAUGUAGGACUCGUUGUAGAGGGCUUUCGGACGGGGGUUCAAUUCCCCCCAUCUCCACCA
rnacentral:tmRNA from 1 species